rnacentral:snoRNA from 1 species
CCCCUCUCAGGGUCGCACUUGGAGAGUUUCCAGUACUCUACCAGCCUCGAUCACAGGAGGGAGAGUCAAGUAGAGGCAUACCCAUUCCAUUUCUAGUUUGGGCAGUAGCUAGUGAGUGGAAGACAAUCUGCUACAAGU